GUCUGCGUGGAGCCGACCUUGAAAUACCACCCUUUAAUGUUUGAUGUUCUAACGUGGACCCGUGAUCCGGGUUGCGGACAGUGUCUGGUGGGUAGUUUGACUGGGGCGGUCUCCUCCUAAAGAGUAACGGAGGAGCACGAAGGUUGGCUAAUCUUGGUCGGACAUCAGGAGGUUAGUGCAAUGGCAUAAGCCAGCUUGACUGCGAGCGUGACGGCGCGAGCAGGUGCGAAAGCAGGUCAUAGUGAUCCGGUGGUUCUGAAUGGAAGGGCCAUCGCUCAACGGAUAAAAGGUACUCCGGGGAUAACAGGCUGAUACCGCCCAAGAGUUCAUAUCGACGGCGGUGUUUGGCACCUCGAUGUCGGCUCAUCACAUCCUGGGGCUGAAGUAGGUCCCAAGGGUAUGGCUGUUCGCCAUUUAAAGUGGUACGCGAGCUGGGUUUAGAACGUCGUGAGACAGUUCGGUCCCUAUCUGCCGUGGGCGCUGGAGAACUGAGGGGGGCUGCUCCUAGUACGAGAGGACCGGAGUGGACGCAUCACUGGUGUUCGGGUUGUCAUGCCAAUGGCACUGCCCGGUAGCUAAAUGCGGAAGAGAUAAGUGCUGAAAGCAUCUAAGCACGAAACUUGCCCCGAGAUGAGUUCUCCCUGAGACUUAAAGUCUCCUGAAGGAACGUUGAAGACGACGACGUUGAUAGGCCGGGUGUGUAAGCGCAGCGAUGCGUUGAGCUAACCGGUACUAAUGAACCGUGAGGCUUAACCUUACAACGCCGAAG
rnacentral:rRNA from 1 species